rfam:Microcoleus sp. PCC 7113, complete genome.
AGAGUAGGCGAAGGUAGUUGCGGACUCGCAUUCUCGUAGAGUCUGAGGAAAGUCCGGGCUCCCGAAAGGCCAAACUUGCUGGGUAACGCCCAGUGCGGGUGACCGUGAGGAUAGUGCCACAGAAAUAUACCGCCUUCUCAAGUCUGAGGGAUAAAGGAUGAAAUUUCAGAUUUCUUACUUUACACUUCAUACGUUGUUGAGGGUAAGGGUGCAAAGGUGCGGUAAGAGCGCACCAGCAGCAUCGAGAGGUGCUGGCUCGGUAAACCCCGGUUGGGAGCAAGGUCGUAGGAACUACGGUUGGUCUUUUCCCAGUUCCGCUGACAAGAACCGCUAGAGGCAUCUGGUAACAGAUGUCCCAGAUAGAUAACUGCCCUCCCAGAAGUUCUGCUGCUGUGGAGAACAGAACCCGGCUUAUGCCCGACUCUCUCC